AACGAACGCUGGCGGCAGGCUUAACACAUGCAAGUCGAACGCGUGUAGCAAUACACGAGUGGAGCACGGGUGAGUAACGCGUGGAUAUCUGCCUUUUGGUUCGGAAUAACCCCGGGAAACUGGGGCUAAUACCGGAUGGUUCCUUCGGGAUUACGAUUUAUCGCCAAAAGUCGCGUCCGCGUCCGAUUAGCUAGUUGGUGAGGUAACGGCUCACCAAGGGGACGAUCGGUGGCUGGUCUGAGAGGACGAUCAGCCACACUGGGACUGGGACACGGCCCAGACUCCUACGGGAGGCAGCAGUGGGGAAUAUUGGACAAUGGGGGCAACCCUGAUCCAGCCAUGCCGCGUGAGUGAUGAAGGCCUUCGGGUUGUAAAGCUCUUUUGGCGGGGGCGAUGAUGACGGUACCCGCAGAAUAAGCCCCGGCUAACUUCGUGCCAGCCGCCGCAGUAACAC
rnacentral:rRNA from 1 species